rnacentral:rRNA from 1 species
AUUGAACGCUGGCGGCAUGCUUUACACAUGCAAGUCGAACGGUAACAGGCCUUCGGGUGCUGACGAGUGGCGAACGGGUGAGAAAUGCAUCGGAACGUGCCCAGAGGUGGGGGAUAACGCAGCGAAAGCUGUGCUAAUACCGCAUGUGAUCUGAGGAUGAAAGCGGGGGACCAGGCAGCAAUGUUUGGCCUCGCGCCUUUGGAGCGGCCGAUGUCAGAUUAGGUAGUUGGUGGGGUAAAGGCCUACCAAGCCGACGAUCUGUAGCUGGUCUGAGAGGACGACCAGCCACACUGGAACUGAGACACGGCCCAGACUCCUACGGGAGGCAGCAGUGGGGAAUUUUGGACAAUGGGCGCAAGCCUGAUCCAGCAAUGCCGCGUGCGGGAAGAAGGCCUUCGGGUUGUAAACCGCUUUUGUACGGAACGAAAAGGCUCUGGCUAAUACCUGGGGCUGAUGACGGUACCGUAAGAAUAAGCACCGGCUAACUACGUG